UUUUAAAUGUAGAUGAAGGAACUGAAGGCCAUGUGGCUUAGUUUACAGAUGACACAAAGAUAGGUGGAGGAGCAGGUGAUGUUCAGAAAGUGAGGAGGCUGUAGAAAGAAUUGGACAGACUAGGUGAGUGGGCAAAGAAGUGGCAGGUGGAAUACAAUGUGGGGAAAAUGAGGUUGUGCACUUUUGGUAGGAAGAAAGAAGCAUAGCCAAUUUUCCAAAUGGG